ensembl:lncRNA
GACAGACAAGGAGAGGGAGAGACAAGAAGACAGACAAGGUGAGUGAUGGAGAGGGAGAGUCAAGGAGACAGACAAGGUGAGUGACAGGCAAGGUGAGGAGAGGGAGAGACAUGGUGACAGACAAGGAGAGUGACAGACAAGGAGAGGGAGAGAUAAGGAGCCACACAAGAUGAGUCAUAGACAAGGAGAGGGAGAGACAAGGUGAAUGACAGACAAGGAGAGGGAGAUACAAGGAGACAGACAAGGUGAGUGACAGACAAGGAGAGGGAGCGACAAGGUGAGUGACAGACAAGGAGAGGGAGAGUCAAGAAGACAGACAAGGUGAGUGACAGACAAGGAGAGGGAGCCACACAAGAUGACAAACAGACAGACAAGGAGAGUGACAGACAAGGAGAGGGAGAGAUAAGGAGCCACACAAGAUGAGUCAUAGACAAGGAGAGUGAGAUACAAGGAGACAGACAAGGAGAGUGACAGACAAGGAGAGGGAGAGUCAAGGAGACAGACAAGGUGAGUGACAGACAAGGAGAGGGAGCCACACAAGAUGACAAACAGACAGACAAGGUGAGUGACAGACAAGGUGAGUGACAUCAAGGAGACAGACAAGGAGAGGGAGAGAUAAGGAGACAGACAAGGAGAGGGAGAGACAAGGUGAGUGACAGACAAGGAGAGGGAGUGACAAGGAGACAGACAAGGAGAGGGAGAGACAAGGAGACAGACAAGGAGAGGAACAAACAAGGAGACAGACAAGGUGACUAACAGACAAGGUGAGUGACAGACAAGGAAACAGACAUGGUGACUGACAGACAAGGAGAUAGACAAGGAGAGGCAGAGACAAGGAGACAGGCAAGGAGAGGAACAGACAAGAAGACAGACAAGGAGACGGACAAGGUGAGUGACAGACAAGGAGCGGGAGAGACAAGGAGACAGGCAAGGUGAGUGACAGACAAGCAGAGGGAGAGACAAGGAGACAGACAAGGUGAGUGUCAGACAAGCAGAGGGAGAGACAAGGAGACAGGCAAUGAGAGGAACAGACAAGGAGACAGAUAAGCGGCCUUUGUCGGCAUUUAGUGGCCCUGAUCAGCAUUUGUUGACAUUUACCGGCCCUGAUCAGCAUUUGUCGGCAUUUACCGGCCCUGAUCAGCAUUUGUCGGCAUUGACCGACCGUGUACAGCAUUGGGACAGGAGGGCUGACAAUUUUUUGUCGCAAUCCACCUUGUCUGCCUUUUGCCGAA